GGGGGCGAAAGGUUUCGACUGGGCAGGAAGAAGCAGGGCUGCGGGCCGAGGUCCCAGGGUCCUCGCAAAUCAACCUGGAAGGCGAACAAACGCCAACAAGCCCGUUCUCGCCGCGGCCUAAUCCCCGCGGCCGCCUUCCGGGUCUCGCCGGCGGAUCCGGGUAAGGCGUCACCGGCCGGCUGCGCUGGGCCGCUCCGCCCUCGGCGGCACGGCUAAGACAGAGGGGGCUGGUGCCGCGGCGAUCCCGCCUGCGGGAGCGCACGGCGCGAGACGAGAACGCAGGCUAGGCUCGUAGACGCUCUGCCCUCACCUGCUCAGGACGCGGGUUCGAUUCCCGCCGCCUCCACCA
rnacentral:tmRNA from 1 species